rnacentral:rRNA from 1 species
UAUUGCUCAAUGGGGGAAACCCUGAAGCAGCAACGCCGCGUGGAGGAUGAAGGUUUUAGGAUUGUAAACUCCUUUUGUUAGAGAAGAUAAUGACGGUAUCUAACGAAUAAGCACCGGCUAACUCCGUGCCAGCAGCCGCGGUAAUACGGAGGGUGCAAGCGUUACUCGGAAUCACUGGGCGUAAAGAGCGCGUAGGCGGGAUAGUCAGUCAGGUGUGAAAUCCUAUGGCUUAACCAUAGAACUGCAUUUGAAACUACUAUUCUAGAGUGUGGGAGAGGUAGGUAGAAUUCUUGGCGUAGGGGUAAAAUCCGUAGAGAUCAAGAGGAAUACUCAUUGCGAAGGCGACCUGCUGGAACAUUACUGACGCUGAUGCGCG